rnacentral:lncRNA from 1 species
CUUUGAUUCAUCAAAGGUGAUUUGAAGAAUCAAAAGUGUUUAGUCUUGAGUUCUCAGUUACUUUUCGGUUCUGGUUUGGAUUAUCAUAGGUUAGGACUUAGGGUUGUGGUUUGGUUUGGGGAUAUCUCGAUUCUUCAACAAAAUCAACAGGUUCCAUUCAGGAAGGAAAACGUUGGAUUCAUAUAUAGCUGCAUUGUGGUCUAGUUUUAAAAGUCAUUAUAGAUAUAAUUACUGGAUAAGCAUAUUAAACAAAAACGUUUGGUAAUAUAUAUCAGACCGCGUACAUGUGUUUAUAUGUCUGUUUACAUUCUUAAUAUUUGUUUUCUAAAUACUUGCAGUUAGUUUAUUCUAUAAACAUUUUUAACAAAACACUAAACUUAUGAUGCAGUAUAAUGCAGGCAUGGAAAUUAUUUAUGUAAAUAUGCCUUAUAAUGAAUAUACAUGUAAAUAUAGUUUUAGAAGCACUUCUCCUCGGCCAUUGGGCAUUUCAUUCGCACCAUGCAGUGCGACAAGAAGGCAGAAAGAUUGAUCUAUUCUUCAAAUUUCUCGGCAAUAUAAAACAGGGUCCACAAGACCAUAUACAGACGGCUGCAUUAUUCAAAACUUCACUUUGACCAGAAACAAAUGUCUUUAAAUCAAUCAUGUAACUCAAUUUCAACUGAUAGGCUAUAGGUAGCGAUUUGUUCCUGGACCUAGAGCUGAUUGGAUGAUGGAUAUGGAAUCAUUUCAUUCGGCUCUUAUUUCUAUUCCACAGUUAAUCCAAUGCUCUUCUCUUUCUUCAGUUUUUCUCUUAUAUAUAAUGAAAUUUCCCUCUAUUUAAUGUCAUGCAGCAGUAACACAAUGUUCACAUAUUUACGAAAAAGCUUUAUUGACUCUAAAGUUAAUCAAUCAUUCGCGGAAUUAUUUUAUUUGAUUUGCAAAGUUUAUUCCAUUGUAAAUAUCAGUGCUUUUUUCAUUUUUUCUUUUGAAUGUAACUUUAAUAUUCUGUAUUAAACGUACCAGUAUUGGUAUUUCUGUUUGAAUAAGUAAUGUUAUUAUUAUUUUUAUUAAAAUAUUUACACCUUCAGUCUUCACCUUCCAUUAUUUUUGCUGUUCUCAAUUUCUGUUAAUAUAUGCUUUAUAUUCACCCGAAUCAAAUCCAAUUUAUUUAGCCAUAAAGAAAUAGUAUUACACACAAAAAAAGAAUAUUACACUGAUUAUGUACGGACAGCAUGGUAGAGACAAUAAGAGACAGCUGCAGUGUGAAGGAUAUAUGCAACCUUAACUACCUGAAAAAUAUAUUGCAGAACUUCGACUUUCGCAGUUUCGAGCAAAGCCCCUUCAUCGGGAAGUUCGUAAAGGCCCUGUCGCACUAUUGCGUAUGAGAGAAACGUAUGAAAAUCAAUGAAAUAAUUUUCAUACGCACAAAAAUCCUUUGAAAUGCCAGCGCAUGAGUACCGUACAUCUGGCGUACCUCUAGCGUAUUCAGCGUGUGCCUAGAGUAUGCUUAUCGUAUAAAGCAUACGUCCGAUACGCACAAAAUUUUUGAACAUGCUUAAAAAAAAUUUUCUGCCUCGCCGUAUGCCAGCGUAUGCCACCGUAUGCGACCGUGCUUGAAACGUAUACUGAACCUAUGCCUAACGUACCCCUAGCGUAUGUCAGUGUAUACCGGCGUAUGAGUGAUAUUUUUCAUACGCUGGCAUACGCUAGUACGAUACGCAACAGUGUGACACGGCCCUAACAUAUGCCUUUCACGUUUGUGACCUGGGUUCGAUAUCCGCAUAACUUCCACCCGUACAGUCGCAUGAUUUUGUAAAGUGUUUUCUACCCUUGACGCCCCUCAUGGAAACCUACAUAUAGUUACAUUAUAAAGGAACUUCGAGUAUGACCACGACUUGGGAGUACUACGUCCUUAUAAGUGUUGACCUUGCUGACAGAAAGAACUGUUUAAGUAGAGUUUGUAGUUUAUGUUACUGCAGGCAGUUUACUGUAUCCGAUCGUCUGGCAUUAAACAGAGUAUAGACUAUUUUGCACUGAUUAAAAAUUUGGUGUUGAGAGAGUGGCAUUUGAAAUACAAAGUAUGUAUAUUUAGAAGACGUUGGGACCACUUAUUUUUUGAUCAAUGCAUGCAUGCUAAUUUGAAUCAAGACAAAGGUACAAGGAACGUCGAUAAUGCAACUUUGAUAACCAAAUGGGAACCAAGCUUGAACGAAAUCCAAUCAGUUUUCAUUGUAAACUU